ensembl:snRNA U7 U7 small nuclear RNA
CAGCAUUACAGCUCCUGUGGAAUUAGUCUAGCAGAUUUCUUAGUUUUCACUGGAAAACCUUA